GACGAACGCUGGCGGCGUGCCUAAUACAUGCAAGUCGAACGAGAGCGACCGGUGCUUGCACUGGUCAAUCUAGUGGCGAACGGGUGAGUAACACGUGGGUAACCUGCCCAUCAGAGGGGGAUAACAUCCGGAAACGGAUGCUAAAACCGCAUAGGUCUUCGAACCGCAUGGUUUGAAGAGGAAAAGAGGCGCAAGCUUCUGCUGAUGGAUGGACCCGCGGUGCAUUAGCUAGUUGGGGAGGUAACGGCUCACCAAGGCCGUGAUGCAUAGCCGACCUGAGAGGGUGAUCGGCCACAUUGGGACUGAGACACGGCCCAAACUCCUACGGGAGGCAGCAGUAGGGAAUCUUCCGCAAUGGACGCAAGUCUGACGGAGCAACGCCGCGUGAGUGAAGAAGGUUUUCGGAUCGUAAAACUCUGUUGUUAGAGAAGAACAAGUGCUAGAGUAACUGUUAGCGCCUUGACGGUAUCUAACCAGAAAGCCACGGCUAACUACGUG
rnacentral:rRNA from 1 species